rnacentral:rRNA from 1 species
GGGCUUAGUGGUGGGGUGACUGCGUACCUUUUGUAUAAUGGGUCAGCGACUUAUAUUCUGUAGCAAGGUUAACCGAAUAGGGGAGCCGGAGGGAAACCGAGUCUUAACCGGGCGUUAAGUUGCAGGGUAUAGACCCGAAACCCGGUGAUCUAGCCAUGGGCAGGUUGAAGGUUGGGUAACACUAACUGGAGGACCGAACCGACUAAUGUUGAAAAAUUAGCGGAUGACCUGUGGCUGGGGGUGAAAGGCCAAUCAAACCGGGAGAUAGCUGGUUCUCCCCGAAAGCUAUUUAGGUAGCGCCUCGUGAAUUCAUCUCCGGGGGUAGAGCACUGUUUCGGCUAGGGGGCCAUCCCGGCUUACCAACCCGAUGCAAACUGCGAAUACCGGAGAAUGUUAUCACGGGAGACACACGGCGGGUGCUAACGUCCGUCGUGAAGAGGGAAACAACCCAGACCGCCAGCUAAGGUCCCAAAGUCAUGGUUAAGUGGGAAACGAUGUGGGAAGGCCCAGACAGCCAGGAUGUUGGCUUAGAAGCAGCCAUCAUUUAAAGAAAGCGUAAUAGCUCACUGGUCGAGUCGGCCUGCGCGGAAGAUGUAACGGGGCUAAACCAUGCACCGAAGCUGCGGCAGCGACGCUGAUGCGUUGUUGGGUAGGGGAGCGUUCUGUAAGCCUGCGAAGGUGGCCUGUGAGGGUUGCUGGAGGUAUCAGAAGUGCGAAUGCUGACAUAAGUAACGAUAAAGCGGGUGAAAAGCCCGCUCGCCGGAAGACCAAGGGUUCCUGUCCAACGUUAAUCGGGGCAGGGUGAGUCGACCCCUAAGGCGAGGCCGAAAGGCGUAGUCGAUGGGAAACGGGUUAAUAUUCCCGUACUUGGUGUUACUGCGAAGGGGGGACGGAGAAGGCUAUGUUGGCCGGGCGACGGUUGUCCCGGUUUAAGCGUGUAGGUGUGUGUUCCAGGUAAAUCCGGUUCACUUUAACACUGAGGCGUGAUGACGAGGCACUACGGUGCUGAAGCAACAAAUGCCCUGCUUCCAGGAAAAGCCUCUAAGCAUCAGGUAACAUCAAAUCGUACCCCAAACCGACACAGGUGGUCAGGUAGAGAAUACCAAGGCGCUUGAGAGAACUCGGGUGAAGGAACUAGGCAAAAUGGUGCCGUAACU